UUUUCUCCAGUAUUUAUUGUGAGAACCUGGUGUGGCUCCCGGAGGAAAAUCUCACGGAACUGUGGAGGGUCUUCUAUGACUGAGUUCCCUCUGCAGGUUUUCUCUCUCAGAGCUAUUCACUCUGAGCAUGCGGUUAAUUCUUCGAUUACAGUUCAAGUUUUCCAGCACUGGUUCCCGUGGAGGUGUCCGCUGGUGAGUCCGUGCUCCAGGAAGAUACCUAGAGACAAGAGGAGUCACCCUCUAAGUAGGAAUAAUUGACCCUGAUCAGCAGGAGGAGCGAUUGUUUACUUGCUGUUAAACAAUUGAGUACACGAAUUCUUUUCUCUGCCCCUUUCAUGCUGCUGUUGGUCCCAUCCACUCAAGUUUCUUAUUCAGAUGAAAAUAACUCUGGGAAAACUUCAGAUGACAGUGAAGAAGUUGCAGCAACCCAAAAGAGCACAAAAACCAAAGACCGCUGCAUAGAACAGUCACGCUAUUAGGACGACCAUAUAUGAAUCCAGUAGCUAUGGCAACUUCUUCUAGAACACUACUGGGACCACUGCUGUGAAAAUCAGAAUCUGUAAUUAUUCUGGUGCGUGUGCGCUUUGUGGUGAAACAACAUCUCCUCCAGGGGUGCCUGGGUGGCUUGGUCGGUUAAGCAUCUGCC